rnacentral:piRNA from 1 species
UGAGUAUGCAUUCCAAGGUCCAUGCUG